AGUCGACGCUUUGUCUUUAAUUGAUCUGACGAGCUUGCUCUGAUUUGAUUUUAUCUGACAAAGAGUGGCGAACGGGUGAGUAACACGUGGGUAACCUACCUCUUAGCAGGGGAUAACAUUUGGAAACAAGUGCUAAUACCGUAUAAUACCAACAACCGCAUGGUUGUUGGUUGAAAGAUGGUUCUGCUAUCACUAAGAGAUGGACCCGCGGUGCAUUAGCUAGUUGGUAAGGUAACGGCUUACCAAGGCAAUGAUGCAUAGCCGAGUUGAGAGACUGAUCGGCCACAAUGGGACUGAGACACGGCCCAUACUCCUACGGGAGGCAGCAGUAGGGAAUCUUCCACAAUGGGCGCAAGCCUGAUGGAGCAACGCCGCGUGUGUGAUGAAGGGUUUCGGCUCGUAAAACACUGUUAUAAGAGAAGAACGGCACUGAGAGUAACUGUUCAGUGUGUGACGGUAUCUUACCAGAAAGGAACGGCUAAAUACGUGCCAGCAGCCGCGGUAAUACGUAUGUUCCAAGCGUUAUCCGGAUUUAUUGGGCGUAAAGCGAGCGCAGACGGUUAUUUAAGUCUGAAGUGAAAGCCCUCAGCUCAACUGAGGAAUGGCUUUGGAAACUGGAUGACUUGAGUGCAGUAGAGGAAAGUGGAACUCCAUGUGUAGCGGUGAAAUGCGUAGAUAUAUGGAAGAACACCAGUGGCGAAGGCGGCUUUCUGGACUGUAACUGACGUUGAGGCUCGAAAGUGUGGGUAGCAAACAGGAUUAGAUACCCUGGUAGUCCACACCGUAAACGAUGAGUGCUA
rnacentral:rRNA from 1 species